rnacentral:rRNA from 1 species
UUUUUCUAAUCAGUGAAACUAAUCUUCCCGUGAAGAAGCGGGAAUACCCCUAUAAGACGAGAAGACCCCAUGGAGCUUCAAACCCAACUACACCCCUAACUUCUAUAACCCCCACCCCACGGGACCCUGUAUAGUUGGUUUUAGGUUGGGGCAACCACGGAGCACAACAAAGCCUCCACAAUGAAUGGGACCACCCCCCUUAUCUAAGAGCCACACCCCUAGGAAUUAAAACAUUAAUAUAAAAUGAUCCAUUAUUUGAUCAAUGAACCAAGUUACCCUGGGGAUAACAGCGCAAUCCGUUUCAAGAGCCCCUAUCGACAAAUGGGUUUACGACCUCGAUGUUGGAUCAGGGUGUCCUGGUGGUGCAGCAGCUACUAAUGGUUCGUUUGUUCAACGAUUAAAACCCU